UACGGGGGGGGCAAGCGUUGUUCGGAAUUACUGGGCGUAAAGGGCUCGUAGGCGGCCAACUAAGUCAGACGUGAAAUCCCCAGGCUUAACCUGGGAACUGCGUCUGAUACUGGAUGGCUUGAAUUCGGGAGAGGGAUGCAGAAUUCCAGGUGUAGCGGUGAAAUGCGUAGAUAUCUGGAGGAAUACCGGUGGCGAAGGCGGCAUCCUGGACCGCCAUUGACGCUGAGGAGCGAAAGCUAGGGGAGCAAACGGG
rnacentral:rRNA from 1 species